AUGAUUUACAUUUGAGUGAGUGGCGAACUGGUGAGUAACACGUGGGACACCUGCCCAGAAGCGGGGGAUAACACCUGGAAACAGAUGCUAAUACCGCAUAACAACUUGGACCGCAUGGUCUGAGUUUGAAAGAUGGCUUCGGCUAUCACUUUUGGAUGGUCCCGCGGCGUAUUAGCUAGAUGGUGAGGUAACGGCUCACCAUGGCAAUGAUACGUAGCCGACCUGAGAGGGUAAUCGGCCACAUUGGGACUGAGACAGGCCCAAAACUCCUACGGGAGGCAGCAGUAGGGAAUCUUCCACAAUGGACGAAAGUCUGAUGGAGCAACGCCGCGUGAGUGAAGAAGGGUUUCGGCUCGUAAAACUCUGUUGUUGAAGAAGAACAUAUCUGAGAGUAACUGUUCAGGUAUUGACGGUAUUUAACCAGAAAGCCACGGCUAACUACGUGCCAGCAGCCGCGGUAAUACGUAGGUGGCAAGCGUUGUCCGGAUUUAUUGGGCGUAAAGCGAGCGCAGGCGGUUUUUUAAGUCUGAUGUGAAAGCCUUCGGCUCAACCGAAGAAGUGCAUCGGAAACUGGGAAACUUGAGUGCAGAAGAGGACAGUGGAACUCCAUGUGUAGCGGUGAAAUGCGUAGAUAUAUGGAAGAACACCAGUGGCGAAGGCGGCUGUCUGGUCUGUAACUGACGCUGAGGCUCGAAAGUAUGGGUAGCAAACAGGAUUAGAUACCCUGGUAGUCCAUACCGUAAACGAUGAAUGCUAAGUGUUGGAGGGUUUCCGCCCUUCAGUGCUGCAGCUAACGCAUUAAGCAUUCCGCCUGGGGAGUACGGCCGCAAGGCUGAAACUCAAAGGAAUUGACGGGGCCCGCACAAGCGGUGGAGCAUGUGGUUUAAUUCGAAGCUACGCGAAGAACCUUACCAGGUCUUGACAUACUA
rnacentral:rRNA from 1 species